AAGCAGAGUACCCUGACCUUGGGAAAAGGCUAUAAUCUAGUGUCUUUAUAGAGAUGAGGAAGCAGCUCUGACAAGUAGAAGUUAAACCCUAGAUGGUCUGGGACUAUCUAGCCAUUGCUUAAUCUUCUUAAUAUGUGUGUCACAACCCAGCAGCGUUCACCUGCUCAGUUCUCAUUUCUACCCUCCUGUGAGUCUUGCUGCAGAGCCUAACCUUCGAAGAUGCUAUCUGCAGUUGUUUGCAUUCUCCCGGUUCUGAGGGGCUGUUUUCACAAACCAGAGCUGGAAGAUAAAUGAUGAGGGAAUUCAGAAGCGUGAGCUCCUUUCCCUGCCCUCUUUGUUUUCUUUCUUUGCAAGCCUGGCCUUUGCCUUUCUUGUUGUGGGUUUACAUGACAGCACACCUGGCUUGUUGGUGGAGUUUUGGGUUUGGGGUUUAUGUUUUAAGCAGUGGCUUUGCCUUCAUGUAGGUUGGAAUGGAAAUGUCAGUCACUUCUGUCACAGCAGCCUCAGUGCUGUAACAAAUAACCUUCUGGGCAGAGGUGUGAGUUCAAUGUUAACUGGUUUUAUUUGGGAUACUUAUAAGAGACUGGUGAUGCUUCCCUUUAAUUCUUGGGGCUUUGAAAGAGCUUUUGUCAAUGGGUGCAGGGCUAAUUGAGGUAUCAGGUUGUACAAGCUAUUUCUCUUUUAUCUGUGCUGUAAGAAUUUAGGACUCAGGAAAAGACCCCAAAUGAGGGGAGCAGAGGCAGUUUGGGGCAACCUGAUACAGCUGUGUUUUGGAACAGGACGCACACCUCAGAGCCCUGCGAGCACCAAUAGGCCUUAAUAGCCAUGAUUCUCCCACCUGGGCGCUCCCCGCUCCCUCUGCCUCACGGCCAGCAGCCAUGUUUGCGCCCAGCACCUGCCUGAGGCGUGCCAGACACGCAAUGCUCUCCAGCUCAGCCAGGCCUGGGGCCGGACCCCAGCCUCAGGAUGGCUUCCCAACUUGGCCUCGGUCCUGCCUCAUCUCUGUGGACUUGCACAGCAGUCACUGCACCGCAGCCCAAGCCUGACCUGCAGGCUGAAUUCCUGGCUUGGCCUUGGACCUGCCUUAUCACCGUGGUACUGCCUCCUGGGCUGGGCUCAUGGCCGGAGCUGGCCACCACCUCUGGCUUCUCUGUGCUGAGGGAGCAGGUGGACCUCGCCAUGCCCUGUCAGUCAGGCAUUUGUGGCCAGACCCAUGGCACCACCUGCUGCUCUCUAACUGCAAAGGAGUCUCAAAGGAAAUAAACAUUGCUGUUCCUCAGCAUGAAGAUCUAGAAUAAAAAAAAACACCACCACCA
rnacentral:lncRNA from 1 species